GGAAUAUUGGACAAUGGGCGAAAGCCUGAUCCAGCCAUGCCGCGUGAGUGAAGAAGGCCCUAGGGUUGUAAAGCUCUUUCAGCGGGGAAGAUAAUGACGGUACCCGCAGAAGAAGCCCCGGCUAACUUCGUGCAAGCAGCCGCGGUAAUACGAAGGGGGCUAGCGUUGUUCGGAAUUACUGGGCGUAAAGCGCAUGCAGGCGGAUCGCUAAGUCGGGGGUGAAAGCCCGAGGCUCAACCUCGGAACUGCCUUCGAUACUGGCGAUCUUGAGUCCGGGAGAGGUGAGUGGAACUCCGAGUGUAGAGGUGAAAUUCGUAGAUAUUCGGAAGAACACCAGUGGCGAAGGCGGCUCACUGGCCCGGUACUGACGCUGAGAUGCGAAAGCGUGGGGAGCAAAC
rnacentral:rRNA from 1 species